rnacentral:rRNA from 1 species
UCUUGGUCAUUUAGAGGAAGUAAAAGUCGUAACAAGGUUUCCGUAGGUGAACCUGCGGAAGGAUCAUUAUCGAAUGUUAAACAUGGGGAUGUUGCUGACUUAUCCAUAUGGAUGGGUAGUGUGCACUCCUCUAAAAUGUUCAAAUCCACCUGUGCACAUUGAGUAGGCAAAACAGAUUGAGUUCUGUGGGGCCUAUGUUAUAUAUAAUCCUGUGAAAGAUGGUAUAAACAAUGAAAAUGAUAUUACAACUUUCAACAAUGGAUCUCUUGGUUCUCGCAUCGAUGAAGAACGCAGCGAAUUGCGAUAUGUAAUGUGAAUUGCAGAAUUCAGUGAAUCAUCGAAUCUUUGAACGCAUCUUGCGCCCUUUGGCUAUUCUGAAGGGCAUGCCUGUUUGAGAGUCAUUAUUAUUCUCAAACUUCAGAGUUUUUGUGGACUCUGAAGCUUUGGAUAUGGAGGACUAUUGCUGGCAAAUUUGUGUUGCUGGCUCCUCUCAAAUGCAUUAGCGGAACUGUCAAUGUCUUGGCUCUGGUUUGAUACAUAUCUAUGCCAUUGCUGAGGAGCUUUCAUGGUUCAGCUUAUAAACCCCCCCUUUGUCUCCGAAAACUUGACCUCAAAUCAGGUAGGACUACCCGCUGAACUUAAGCAUAUCAAUAAGCGGAGGA